rnacentral:rRNA from 1 species
CGCGUAGGCGGGCCUUCAAGUCGGAUGUGAAAACUGGUGGCUCAACUACCAGCCUGCAUUCGAUACUGUUGGUCUUGAGUACAGGAGAGGAAAGCGGAAUUCCAGGUGUAGCGGUGAAAUGCGUAGAUAUCUGGAAGAACACCAGUAGCGAAGGCGGCUUUCUGGACUGAUACUGACGCUAAAGCGCGAAGGCCAGGGGAGCAAACA